GGGAUUGUGACUCAGAGGUAGAGUACUUGCCUAGCAUGCGUGAGGCACUGAGUUUGAUCCUCAGCACCA
rnacentral:tRNA from 1 species